ACAACGCUGGCGGCAGGCUAACACAUGCAAGUCGAACGCUCUCUUCGGAGGGAGCGGCGGACGGGUGAGUAACGCGUGGGAACGUGCCCUUCUCUAUGGAAUAGCCACUGGAAACGGUGAGUAAUACCAUAUACGCCCUUCGGGGGAACAGAUUUAUCGGAGAAGGAUCGGCCCGCGUUAGAUUAGGUAGUUGGUGGGGUAAUGGCCUACCAAGCCUACGAUCUAUAGCUGGUUUUAGAGGAUGAUCAGCCACACUGGGACUGAGACACGGCCCAGACUCCUACGGGAGGCAGCAGUGGGGAAUCUUAGACAAUGGGCGCAAGCCUGAUCUAGCCAUGCCGCGUGAGUGAUGAAGGCCUAUAGGGUCGUAAAGCUCUUUCGCCAGAGAUGAUAAUGACAGUAUCUGGUAAAGAAACCCCGGCUAACUCCGUGCCAGCAGCCGCGGUAAUACGGAGAGGGUUAGCGUUGUUCGGAAUUACUGGGCGUAAAGCGCACGUAAGCGGAUUAGAAAGUUAGGGGGUGAAAUCCCGGGGCUCAAACCAUCGGAACUGCCUCCAAAACUCCUAGUCUAGAGUUCGAGAGAGUGUGAGUGGAAUUCCAAGUGUAGAGGUGAAAAUUCGUAGAUACUUUGGACGGAACCACCCAGUGGCCGAAGGCGGCUCACUGGCUCGAUACUGACGCUGAGGUGCGAAAGUGUUGGGGAGCAAACAGGAUUAGAUACCCCGCUAU
rnacentral:rRNA from 1 species